GAUGAAGAACGUAGCGAAAUGCGAUAAGUAAUGUGAAUUGCAGAAUUCAGUGAAUCAUCGAAUCUUUGAACGCACAUUGCGCCCUCUGGUAUUCCGGAGGGCACACCUGUUCGAGCGUCAUUUCAACCAUCAAGCCCCCGGCUUGUGUUGGGGACCUGCGGCUGCCGCAGGCCCUGAAAAGCAGUGGCGGGCUCGCUGUCACACCGAGCGUAGUAGCAUACAUCUCGCUCUGGGCGUGCUGCGGGUUCCGGCCGUUAAACCACCUUCAUAACCCAAGGUUGACCUCGGAUCAGGUAGGAAGACCCGCUGAACUUAAGCAUAUCAAUAAGCGGAGGA
rnacentral:misc_RNA from 1 species